GCAGGCGCUGAUUCUGCUCCGCACAGCGCGGUGCGCUCCGCAGGCGCCGCGCCACCGGGACCGCCCGCUCGGAGCCGGGGCUGGGCUCGCAGCUGCCCCGGGCACGGGCUCAAGGACAGGGGCCACCUCUGACAUGACAGAGAACUAUUUCAAGUUCCAAGCAGCAGCCACCACGGUGACCUUCCUUCGUCCCUUCAGCCUUUGCCUUCGCCGCUAGUUUCUGCAUUUCCCUCCCAUCUGCCCUUCUCAUCACGGCUGUGCCUCCAGCGCUAUCCCCGGGGACAGCCUGGUUCGAGGACAGCAAGAGCUCUGGAUCACAGGGUAGGGCUGCAAAACAGUACUUUCCUCUUGGCCGUGUUUCUUAUGCAAGUCUGCAUAUAAUCAGAUCGACGCCAAGCCUUCCUGUACUCUUUCACUAUGUCUGUGACUCAUUAACUUUAGUUCUCUUAGAUUAGUUGAGUAGGAUUUUAAGACCAUGACACUGGGAUAAAUUUUAUCUUCUGAAUGUCCUUGAUAAAUGGAUUUGAAUUAAUUGCUAUUAACAUUACUGUGAAAUUUGGCCAGGUUGGUAAACUUCCUAGAUUGAACAUGAUUUCUCCCUUCCCUCACUCUCCUGUGUUGAAAGUUAGCAGUUAACAUUUGAGAGGAGAAAUCUUGUAAUUUAUUGUUUCUUAUACUUCUGACCAGAGCUGCACUUUAGUUUUCUACAGUCUCUCUCAUUAAUGUGAGAUCAGCACACUACAGGGGACAUAUACAAUCAUAAAUACAGCUCUUUCUGUAAGGAAUUAAGGUUCUGUUUUGCCUAGAGCAUUGUCAAAGCUGGAAAUUCUCCAUGCCAGAACACUUAGACUUUCUUAAACCUAACAUCAAAACAGUCAUUCAUCUCUUUGUUUGCUCAAAUAAUGCUCAAACUUGUUCAAAGAUAGAAGAAACAGAACAAGAAUUCAGCGUAAAUCAUAGAACAGCGCUCAUACUGCGAUGAAAGGGAAUUCCAGUUUGGCAGAGGACAGAACCUGCAGCCUAAGGUGGACUGGUACAGAAAAUUCUCAACUAUUCCACACAGAGUUCAUUGAAUGCUACCACCUUGUGUCCCAAAACCACUCCACUGCGCACAAACCCAGUGCUGAUUGCAUCUAUGCUACUCCCAGUGAAAACCAGGGCCCAUGUUCUUAUCUUAGGCCAAAUUGGGACAAUGACUGUAAAAGGAGUAAGAAAUGUAUUUUCAAGUCCUGAGUCUGGUGACACAAACUAUCAGACAAUCUUUUAUCAAUGAAGAAAAUAUUCUUCAAAUCAGCUAUUCCCAUGUAUUGACUUAGGUAGGCUGAUGUACUGCUUACACAUUAUAUACAUAUCUAUUUAUAUGUAUAACAUAUAAUUAUAUAUAUUACAUUGUAAUAUGUACAUAGAAAUUGUAUACAAUUUAUUACUCUAUUUACAUUUAUUUUACUGUAUUUCCAUAUAUACGCUUACUAUAUUUUUAUAGAGAUCUAUAUAAUAUAUAUAAAAUAUAUAAUAUAGAAUAUAUUAUAUGGAAUAUAUUAUAUACACACACAUGUAUAGGUACAAUAAAUUUAGCCCUUGUGUCAUAAUGGAAAGGCAGUGUGUUAUUUUGGGAGUCACCUCCAUAUGGAAUUGCAACUGGUUCUGGCUUCCAAGGGAAUGGAGACUGAUAAGAAAUGAGGAAUUUACACAACAUUUUUUACAAACAACUGGACUCAGAUUUUAGUAUAACCUGAGAAAUAACAAUUGUGUUUUUCAAUGUUUCACUUAAACAUCUUUAUGAUUCAACUAGCACCUUUAUAACUGCUAUGAAAUAAUAAUUUUGAAGAUAAAAAAUUCCAGACUAUUAGCUGGAAAAAAUAAAGCAUACAUACCAAAAGGCAAUUUUUAUGAACAUCUUAAUUUAAUAUUUGGAAGUUUCUCAAGGCACCACUUUAGGGAAUAUUAUUUUUGAGCCAGCUGAAUAUUCUUUUCUGCUUGCAAGAUGUUUUCUAUCAGUUUGACACUUAAAUGAAAAAUGCCUAGACACCUUUGGAAGCCAGUAAGACAAUAAAUGUUACAAGAGUUUUGAAAAUACAUUUUUAACUGCCAAGUUUUUACCCCAUUCCAAGUGUAGUAUUUGAAGCAAUUUGGAAGCAACAUUAUUAGAGUCACCUUAAUGUACUUUUGGAAUCAACACUAUUGCUCUUCCUGUGAAGGAAGCAGAAUCUGUCUGCACUGGAGUUUAUACAUAUGCAGGUAUAGUAAUUUGACUGCUUUACUUAUAGUAACACAGUUUAAUGUCUGUAUAAAUAUAUACAGGGCUUGAGGCUACAUGCACUUAAUAAAUACAUAUAUGCACUUGAAAAAUUGCUUGGGGAAAUACACCAGAAAGGUUAAUAAAGUACAAUUUCUUUCAAUUUAUCAAAUGUAAAUUGGCUUUACGUAUAUUCAAAGAUUAAGUUUUUCUCAUAGUGAGUUAAAAGAGAUAAGUGGUCUAAUUAUAUCUAUCAUCAGUGAUGCAAGAUCCCAGCAAGAUGACACUAUUAUGAUACCAUAAAUAAUUUUUUAAUGUAGAGAAUCACACUCCACCAUAUUAAUAAUUUUGAUUUUGGUACUUUGAUGAUUUUUCCUAAGUAUUAAAAAGCAGCUGUUCUCUGUACAUUUUCAGUUAGCUUAAAAGUGUGACAUCCAGUGAAAGAUUACCUUAAUCUUUUUCCUUGGAAGAGAAGCUGACAGUCUUUCCAGUCCCACUGGUGAGCACUUGAUUCAGACUGUUAGGAACAGGACAGGAAGUUUGUGGGGGAAAAAAAGUCCUCUCAUUUUAGAUAAGUAUCCCACGGUUAUUUUUACUUUUAACACAAUCUAUUUUUAAAUAUGCUUCUUGUUUCUUCUGCUGUCCUCAGAAAUUCCAUGUGUCCUUUUAGGCACUAGUACUUUGCCUAUAAAGAAAUUCUGUCUCCUGCCUUCACUCAGAACAAAUUUUGUGUUUCUCGACUGCUGCUGUAACAUUUCAGAAUUCUCUUCAAACUCCUUCUCUCUUGUUAAGAAACUCCAUGCGUUAUGAUCUUUAUUUACACUUUAAAUGUAAAUUUAAAUCUUGUAUUUAAAAACUAAAAAACAUAUUUUGAUUGCAAAUGUAAUGCCAUUAGUGACUAUAUAUGCCAACCAAUGACAACAAAUUUCAGAUUAUUAAAUUUAAUUCCACUCAAAUCAAUCAAUUUCACUGUUUCACUGCGCAGCUUUCACUGGGAAAGACCCUUUCAAAUAAAAGCCAUAUUCUAGUCUGAA